GGGCGUUUAGCUCAGUGGUAGAGCGCCCGCUUUGCAUUGUCUCUCUUCAUGCCUGCGGGAGGCCCAGGGUUCAAUCCCCUGAUCGUCCA
rfam:Colletotrichum sublineola strain TX430BB Scaffolds0534.1, whole genome shotgun sequence.